AUAUCACCUAGUUAGCUCUGUUUGUAUAUGGUAUCUAUGUGAAUUUUGACUGUUUCUCCCCUCUCUUCUUUAGUCAUUACCCCUGUUUUUGGUUCAUUCCUAUCAGCAGUGUCUUGUUGGCUUCUGCCCUUACCCUGAAUCCCUUAAGCCCUGUGUACAGUGAGUAUCAUAAUUCAUAAUUGUAAUAAUGUCACAAGCUUACCAAGGUUGCUACAUGAAACAGAAGAAAAUUAAAUUUGGUGUUAUUUAUUUUUAUAAAGAGACAGCAUCAUGGGGUUUCGCCAUGUUGGUCGGGCUGGUCUUAAACUCCUGAUCUCAGGUGAUCCACCCACCUUGCCAGUGAACCACCACAGCACCCGGCCCGUUUUUGGUUUUUUUUGUUUGUUUGUUUUUUGAGCCAGAGUAUUGCUCUGUUGCCCUGGCUGGAGUGCCGAAGUGCCAUCUUGGUUCACGGC
rnacentral:lncRNA from 1 species